UACCUGGGGUGCAAACGUUGCUCGGAAUUAUUGGGCGUAAAGCGCGCGUAGGCGGUUACUCAAGUCGGAUGUGAAAGCCCUCGGCUUAACCGAGGAAGUGCACCCGAAACUGAGUAGCUAGAGUACUAAAGAGGGUCGCGGAAUUCCCGGUGUAGAGGUGAAAUUCGUAGAUAUCGGGAGGAACACCGGUGGCGAAGGCGGCGACCUGGGUAGAUACUGACGCUGAGGCGCGAAAGCGUGGGGAGCAAACAGG
rnacentral:rRNA from 1 species